rnacentral:rRNA from 1 species
AAUCAACGCGGGCGGCGUGCCUAACACAUGCAAGUCGAACGAGAAAGGGUAGCAAUACUGAGUACAGUGGCGCACGGGUGAGUAACACGUGACUAACCUACCCUGGAGUGGGGAAUAACUGAGGGAAACCUUAGCUAAUACCGCAUAAUACCUACGGGUCAAAGGAGCAAUUCGCUUCAGGAGGGGGUCGCGGCCGAUUAGUUAGUUGGCGGGGUAAUGGCCCACCGAGACAGUGAUCGGUAUCCGGCCUGAGAGGGCGCACGGACACACUGGAACUGAAACACGGUCCAGACUCCUACGGGAGGCAGCAGUGGGGAAUUUUGCGCAAUGGGGGAAACCCUGACGCAGCAACGCCGCGUGGAGGAUGAAAUCCCUUGGGAUGUAAACUCCUUUCGAUCGGGACGAUUAUGACGGUACCGGAAGAAGAAGCCCCGGCUAACUUCGUGCCAGCAGCCGCGGUAAUACGAGGGGGGCAAGCGUUGUUCGGAAUUAUUGGGCGUAAAGGGUGUGUAGGCGGUUUGGUAAGUCGUGUGUGAAAUCUUCGGGCUCAACCCGAAGUCUGCACACGAAACUGCCG